AAGUGACAUUGCACGGGAAACGUGGGGGCGACAUAACAACGAUUUGCACACAACAAAUGGAGAAGGUUUUGCAUAAAGAAUGCAGCGGAUUUUUGGUACAACUUGAGCAACAAACUAAAGGAGAGCCAACAGAAUUUGAAGAUCCAAAUCUACUUCCUUUGCUUGUUGAAUUUUCAAAUAUAUUUGACGAACCGCGCAAC
rnacentral:lncRNA from 1 species